rnacentral:rRNA from 1 species
UACGUAGGGUCCAAGCGUUGUCCGGAUUUAUUGGGCGUAAAGAGCUCGUAGGCGGCUCAGUAAGUCGGAUGUGAAAACUCGGGGCUCAACCCCGAGACGCCAUCCGAUACUGCUGUGGCUUGAGUCUGGUAGGGGAACACGGAAUUCCUGGUGUAGCGGUGAAAUGCGCAGAUAUCAGGAGGAACACCGAUGGCGAAGGCAGUGUUCUGGGCCACUACUGACGCUGAGAAGCGAAAGCAUGGGGAGCGAACAGG